CCCAUAUCUCUUCUUUCUACUCUCUCUCACUAGAAAUCGCUAAACUCCCUCACUCUCUCUAAAUAUUUAUUAUUUAAUAAAUAAUAAAGCUCUGCCUUGUUUUAAGUGUUUUAACUCUCGAUCACCGCUAUCCUUUCCGAUUGAUCUGAAACCAUAACACAUGUCAGGGCUCUGCCCGACUAAAUUAUUGGAUUCUGUCUCGGGACUUCGGGACAAGGUUGAAUAAGGGGUACUAUACUUAGCACGAGUGCAAUAUAUAUUUUUAAUAGCCCAAAAGUUAUACCGAAAAUUUAUACCAGGAGUCUUUCUAGUUAAACCCUAAAGUUACACAGUGGGUCCAUUCUCUUUGUUUUAUUCUCUUUUUGUGAUUUACCCAAAACUAUUAUUUAUUAUUCUAUUUUGUAAACAACUCUCAUCAAAAGUCAUAUCUAUUAUGUUAUUUACCUAAUAGGAAACCCUAGUUGAGACACCCAAGUAAUCCUACACAACUCCUAAAAUUUUCAUAACAAUCAAAAUCAAGAUCAGGGUCCCUAAAACUUAGGAGGGGGAUAUUCCCACUUGAUGAUUAUCUUUAUAUCUCGUUGUCAAAAUUCGAAUUUAAUAUUCCGUCGACUCAUCAAGCCUAUACACACACGUGGCAAGCCUAUAGUGAAAAGGUGUCCCUUACGGACCGUAAGGGAUAAGGCUUACGGUCCGUAAGCCUGUCAAUUUUCAUAUACAAAUAGCAGGCAUCGGCACUUGCAGUCUGCUGUUCAUUCGACAAUCCAAUUCAAAUUAUACUCCGAGUUAUAGUAGAAACAGUCUCCAAAUCACUAAUUAGUAGAGGGGGGUGUUGCUACGAUACAGGGUAUUAACUCGAUCGCUAUUACGAUUCAUUUUCCGACCGAUCAAUAUAUCCAAUGGAUGUUUAAGUGCCGCCCACAUUAGGGUUAUACUUUGUCAUUCGUCAUUAAUUCGAUGGAUGUUUAAGUAUCGUACUUUGUCGUUCGUCGUUAAAUCGAUGGAUGUUUAAGUAUCGCAUUUUGUCGUUCGUUGUGAGAAUUUGAUCUCGUGAGUUAUCGUAAUUGUUGUAUUAAGUUACCUACCUAGUUCGUAUGCACUAGGUUACAAGGCUAAAUCAAUAGGCUAAGCUCUGCCUGUAUAAAUCUGCAACAUAUCAAGGCUUAUCUGUAAACUAAACUUUGGCCAUAUGAAUCUGCAUGAUUAUAAUGUAAUUACAGUAGAUUGGAGUAAGGAUUGGAUCCGGCACUAAAAGACUUCAAGAAGUGGCUUAUUUUAUUAAUUAAAUCAAAUUAAGAAAUAUUGUUUUUAUUAAAAGCUACCUUUGUAAAACAUGGAAUUCAUUCCAUCUAUUUAAAUAAAAUCCGGUGUU
rnacentral:lncRNA from 1 species